CAGCCGCCGCGGUAAUACGUAGGUGGCAAGCGUUGUCCGGAAUUAUUGGGCGUAAAGGGCUCGCAGGCGGUUUCUUAAGUCUGAUGUGAAAGCCCCCGGCUCAACCGGGGAGGGUCAUUGGAAACUGGGAAACUUGAGUGCAGAAGAGGAGAGUGGAAUUCCACGUGUAGCGGUGAAAUGCGUAGAGAUGUGGAGGAACACCAGUGGUGAAGGCGACUCUCUGGUCUGUAACUGACGCUGAGGAGCGAAAGCGUGGGGAGCGAACAGGAUUAGAUACCCCGGUAGUCCCUGUCUCUUAUAC
rnacentral:rRNA from 1 species